rnacentral:rRNA from 1 species
UACAUAGGGUGCAAGCGUUAAUCGGAAUUACUGGGCGUAAAGCGUGCGCAGGCGGUUUGGUAAGACAGAUGUGAAAUCCCCGGGCUUAACCUGGGAAUUGCAUUUGUGACUGCCCGGCUAGAGUUUGGCAGAGGGGGGUAGAAUUCCACGUGUAGCAGUGAAAUGCGUAGAUAUGUGGAGGAAUACCGAUGGCGAAGGCAGCCCCCUGGGUCAAGACUGACGCUCAUGCACGAAAGCGUGGGGAGCAAACAGG